UGGCGGCGUGCUUAACACAUGCAAGUCGAACGAAGCACUUUACCACGAUUCCUUCGGGAUGACGGUUUGGUGACUGAGUGGCGGACGGGUGAGUAACGCGUGGGGAACCUGCCCCAUACCGGGGGAUAACAGCCGGAAACGGCUGCUAAUACCGCAUAAGCGCACAGUACCGCAUGGUACGGUGUGAAAAACUCCGGUGGUAUGGGAUGGACCCGCGUCUGAUUAGCCAGUUGGCGGGGUAACGGCCCACCAAAGCGACGAUCAGUAGCCGGCCUGAGAGGGCGACCGGCCACAUUGGGACUGAGACACGGCCCAGACUCCUACGGGAGGCAGCAGUGGGGAAUAUUGCACAAUGGGGGAAACCCUGAUGCAGCGACGCCGCGUGAGUGAGGAAGUAUUUCGGUAUGUAAAGCUCUAUCAGCAGGGAAGAAGAAAUGACGGUACCUGACUAAGAAGCCCCGGCUAACUACGUGCCAGCAGCCGCGGUAAUACGUACGGGGCAAGCGUUAUCCGGAUUUACUGGGUGUAA
rnacentral:rRNA from 1 species